UUGUGUCUGAGUCUCUCUUUCAGGAGCAGGUCUUGUGUGCUAUUAGGAGCAUUCGUGCUUCUAAGCCGUUUUCGAUAAGAGAGCUUUUGAAUCAGCGAUCGGUUCCGUUAUACUUAAUCUAGCAUAUUCGAAGUAUCUAGAAAAUAAUUUUUGCGAUUUUUCGAUAUCAUUUACCUAGCGGUCGAAAAAGUUCAAAAUCAAUAACUUUUAAUACUUGAUAUAUAUUGUAUGUAAGUUUAACGGUGUAGAAAUAUUCGAAUCCGAUUAAAUUUUGAUAGAAAAUUUUUUAUACUAUUUACUAAUUAAAAGAUUAAUAUCUUUGAUUGAAAAUUUUAAUCCUAUAUUAUCAUUUUUUGUGAGACUUUUAUUUUCAACCGUUGAUUUUGAAUAUCUCCAUCGCUAAGUAAAUAAUAUCGAAAAAUUGCAAAAUUUAUUUUCUAGAUACUUCAAAUACGCUAGAUCAAGUCUAACGAAAUUGAUCGUCGAUUCGAAAGCUCAUCAUUGAAAAUAGCUUAGGAGUACGGAGAUCUCGGUGCUCCGAAUAGCACACAAGACCUACUCCUCUUUCAGAUCCUUUUCGCUUUUUGUUUUCUUUUUUUGUUUUUUAAAUUUCUUUGUAGUUAUCUAAAUAAGUAAUGUGUCAUGUCUCUCAUUUUGCCAAUAUAAUUAGUGUUAGUUUUGUUUUUUUUUUUUUUUUUUGUACAAAUAACCUAUACGCUGAAAUAUUAAGGUCACGUUUGGUUCAAAAUAAAAAAAAUAAAAUUUAAAUUUAAAUUUAAAUAAAAAAUUAAAAAUAUAAACUACACUAGUUUAAUUAUCUAUUCGUCCAACUGGAUUUUUUUUAAGAGAAAAAAGUAGGACACAAUCUAUUUCAUUCAUUCAAGAAAUGAAUUAAGCUACAGUAGUAAGGUAAGGGACCUCAGAAUUAGACUAAAACGAAGAAAAAUAGAGUCAAAUACAUCCAGUUCAACUUUCAUAUGUUGUUCAUAUAAAAAUUCUAAUGUUUUCAAAUUUAUUCUAGUCGUUAGAAUUUGUUAAAAAACUUUAGUUAAUCAUAUAUUAAGUACUUACUCCUGAUUAGUGUAUGAGAUAACUUGAUAUUUUACCUUUUUUAUUUUUUAUUGUUAUGACUUUUGGAUGUAUACAUUUGUGAUGUCAAAAUUAAAAAUGUAAGCAAUUCUCUAACGGUAACAAAUCAGAUGAAUAUAUUUGAAAAUAUUAGGACUUUUAUAAGGAUAACAUAUAAAAUUUG
rnacentral:lncRNA from 1 species